CGCGGCGCCCGAGGCGGCCACCGCUGGCCGCGCGCACCUGGCCGCGCCGCGCGCCGGGGCCCGCGCAGCUAAACCCACGUCGCGGCCGACCCAACUGGACACGCGUGGGGUGUGCUGCAUACAGGACGCGGACACGCGAGCCCCACGCACCUGGGGACGCUCCUGGCCGCACGUGUCCACGCUAACGCACCUGGACGCCCGUGCUCAGCCGUGACAGAUGCAGACUUAACACCUGGGCCGCAGGGCUUCUGACUCAGGAGCCCGAGCCCACGCACACUCAUCCCCGCCCGCUGACACCGGUGCGCGCACCUCCCAGGCCUUCCGCGGGAGACAGCGUGAGCCACUCCCGCCCCCGUUCAGCACAAGAAACGACUCUGAGGAGCAGAGGAAGCUGCCAGUACACAGCACUGCCAGGAUCUGAGCUCGAUCCAGCUGAACCACACACUCGUGCUCAUUGACAGGACGGUUGAAACAGGAAGGCUGGCGAGCGGAUGUUGAGAAGAAGUAUUUUUUAUAGUUGAAACUUCUUGCUAAUGGACCUGUGACCAAGACAGGAGGUACUUACUCUGUGGCUGCUGAAGCUGGGUCAGGAAAGAUGCUGUGGCUUGUCCUCGACUCCCUGGGAACCCAGCCUGCAUGCUCUGAGACCACGCAGGAGGAAGCCCCAGCAUCUGAUGCAGAGGCCUGGGGUUGAUAUUCUAGGUCCGUCCCAGUGAGGCCAUAGCCAACAUCAACUGCCAGAUGUGGGCCGACAGCCCACCCAUCUGUGCUGAACUGUACGAGGUUCCUCGGCACCUUCCACUCCCUUCCUGCAUUCUCUGAUCCAUCGCCAGCAGACUCCUCAACAGUCCGCAUUUCGCCAACCCCACCGCCCUGUGGCCACGUCAUGCCACCUGACAUGCUGGACACCUGGAAUGACCUCCUGAAUGCUCUGCUCAGGUACCCGCUGCCUCUCUCCAGGUCCAGUGAGCAGCCAAGUAGUCUUGUCAAAACAUGCAUCCGAUCACGUCCCUGCUCUGCUCUCAAUCCUUCCGUGAUGAAGAGAGGCUGGUCUGCAAACGCUAGCAUACGCUGGUUCUCGCCACUGUGCCAGCCCUGUCUCCUCAGACUUCGUGCACCAAGUACUUUAGCUUUCCCACCACAGGGCCUUUGCUUACGCUGUUUCUGCUGCAACGUCCAGGUCUCCUCACUCUUGUACUGCUGCUGUUUUGGAGUAGAUCCUUUGUUUUAGGGGGGUUGACCAUUCAUUGUGGAUUGUACAGCAAGCAUCCCUCCUAGUUAUUCCCCAUCCAUGUGACAACCAAAAAUACUUCCGGUGAUUGACAGAUGCCCCCCAAUUUGAGCAGUUGACCUAGAAAGACUUUCUUCUUCUCUGCCUAUCAAGUUCAGAAGUCACUUUCUUAGGGACCCUUUCCUGAAUUUAGGUUAGAUUAGGUCUCUCCAGUUAAUUUAUGACUAUGUGGCAAUUAUUAUGUUUAGCAAUACUUACCCCAUUCUCUGAGUUGGAGAACUCUGGAGUGGACCAGUCUGUUCACUGCUGAGGACAAGGACCACGGCCACCCACACACACCUCUGUAGUCCCAGUGCCCAUGAGGUCUACUGGCACAUAAGACCUAAUAUUUUGUUUUUUUUUUUUUUUCUGCUAAAUCAGAAUUUCACAAUUAUCAUGUGUUUCAGAAACACAGACCAGUGAAGUAGAAUCUCAUCAUUUUGAAAGACCUAAUAUUUGUUAGACAAAAACAAACACAUGUAUUUAAGGCCAUAUCUCCAAACAGAAUACUUUUUUCUUUAAAGAUUUAUUUUAUUUAUUUGAAAGGCAGAGUUACGGAGAGAGGGAGAGUCAGAGAGAUCUUCCCAUCUGCUGGUUCACUCCCCGAAUGGCUGCAAUGGCUGGAGCUGAACUGAUCCAAAGCUAGGAGCCAGGAGCUUUUUCUGGGUCUCCCACAUAGGUGCAGAGGCCCAAGCACUUGGGCCAUCCUCUGCUGCUUUCCCAGGUACAAAAGCAGGGAGCUGGAUGGGAAGUGGCGCAGCUGGGACUCGAACUGGUAUCCAUGUGGGAUGUGGGCACUGCAGGCAGUGGCUUAAACCAUUAGGCCACAGUGCCAGCCCUGACCCUCUUUCAAAAACCCAGUCUAGGGGCCAACACUGUGGCACAGCAGGUUAUGCCACUGCCUGCAACGCUGAUAUCACAAAUGGGUACGGGUUCAAAUCUCAGCUGCUCCUUUUUUUUUUUUUUUUUUUUUGACAGGCAGAGUGGACAGUGAGAGAGAGACAGAAAGGUCUUCCUUUGCCAUUGGUUCACCCUCCAAUGGCCGCCGCGGCCUGUGCGCUGCAGCCGGUGCACCGCGCUGAUCCAAUGGCAGGAGCCAGGUGCUUAUCCUGGUCUCCCAUGGGGUGCAGGGCCCAAGCACUUGGGCCAUCCUCCACUGCACUCCCUGGCCACAGCAGAGAGCUGGCCUGGAAGAGGGGCAACAGGACAGAAUCCGGCACCCCGACCGGGACUAGAACCCGGUGUGCCAGCGCCACAAGGCGGAGGAUUAACCUAGUGAGCCGCGGCGCCGGCCAGCUGCUCCUUUUUUAAUCCAGCUCCCUGCUAAUGUGCCUGGGAAAGCAGCAGAAGAUGGCCCAAAUAAUUGAGCCCUUUACCCAAUAGAAGUACUACAAAGAAGCUCCUGGCUUCUGGUAUUGGCCUGGCCCAGCCCCAGCCAUUGUGGCUAUUUUGGGCGUGAACUUGCAGAUGAAAGAUCUCUGUCUCUCUUUCUCUUGUAAUUCUGGAUGUUCAAACAAAAUAAAUCUUUAUUUUUUAUUUUUUUUAAAGAUUUAUUUAUUUAUUUGAAAGAGUUACACACAGAGAGUUGAGACAGAGAGACGUCUUCCAUCCACUGGUUCACUCUUCAAUUGGCCACAAUGGCCAGAGCUGCGCUGAUCCGAAGCCAGGAGCUUCUUCUGGGUCUCCCACGUGGGUGCAGGGUCCCAAGGACUUGGGCCAUCCUCCACUGCUUUCCCAGGCACAAUAGCAGGGAGCUCGAUUGGAAAUGGAGCAGCUGGGACUCGAACCAGCGUCUAUAUGGGAUGCUGGCGCUGCAGGUGGCAGCUUUGCUUGCUACGCCACAGCGCUGCUCUCCCCCCUGCCCCCCCCCAUCCCCUUAUUAUUUCUUAAACAUUUUUUUUUUGAGAGGCAGCGAGAUGGAGAUCUCCCAUCUGUUUGGGUCACUUCUGUAAUGCUGGGGGUGCAAUCCAGGUCUCCCACUAGGGAGGCAGGACCCGACUACUUGAGCCAUCAUCUGCUACCUUCCAGGGUCUGCAUUCACAGGGAGCUGGAGUCAGGAGCCAGAGCCGGGAACUGAACUCGGGCACUCCAAUGAGGGGACAUGCAUGUCGUCACCGACGGUGCUAAGACUUGCUCUGCUGCUCCCCGUUAUUACUAACAGGUUUUAUUUCAUCAAGUAAUGAAAACACUGAAAUGCAAGACAGCCAAAGCAGUGGCGGGCCGAGAUCAGCUUUCCCCUUCCGUCCUGUUAGGAAGGACAGCAAAGAGAGCGGCUGCCUCAUGAUGGGAAAAGACGGAACGGGGGCUACGUGCUGCACUCCCCAAAUCCGGAGAUCAGAGACCUCCUCCAACAGCCAUCAGACUAAUGGUGCUUCCUCUGCAAAGCUGAGAGACAGAGCCAUGGAAGCCGAGGGAAUCUGUUCUGCAGGCGGGAGUCCAGCUCUGCAGGUCUCCACCCGACACCAAAGUUUUAGAACUGCAGGGGGAAAAAGACCUGGAAGGGGCUUGUACAAGAAACCUCAUUUUUUCUUUACUCUCGAAAGAAAUUUGCUUUAAAAAAAAAAUCAACAGCGCAUGCAGUGCAUGUAUCACUGGCUGAACCAAGUAUCAUGGAUCAUAACUAAUAAGACAGCCCCUGCCCCAAGAGAGCCAUCAAUUGUUACUGUUUUGAAACUGUUUUGGAAAUGUUUGAAACACAGCACUUACUUUCUGAUGUAUCACAACCACCGGCAGAUACAAUGACUGAAUUAUGAGGCUCCACAGAUUUCCCCCGACAAAUGCGUGUAGAGAAACUCAUCGCACUGUGGAUCUCGUCACCCCAUUCUCCGAACCCCGAUAGUUCUAUUAAGUGAGAUCUGUGACCAGGAAAGAUGCACUGGUCAUUUGGACUUCACCCUCAGGGAGAAGAGGACACCACAUUCACUCACUUGAAACACAUCUUUAAGAAGGCAAUGCGAUAUUUUUGUGCCAGUUUGUGUAAUAAUUUUACUGCACAAGAAAUCACAGAGAUUGCAUAAAUACCAUAUAGACAAGAGUUAAAUAAAACAAAAGGCUGUUUUAUUCUGAUCAAAUAAAACGAGAAUAACUCAAGGCUUACAAUACCAGUGACUUCCCGAAUGUGGCUCCUUUUGAGAGAAAAUUGACCUCUUGCAUUUUCUAAGUACAGUAAUAUCCAUUAAGCAAAAUGAAAAAUUGCUUUGCAGUUAAAAAUACCAAAAAGCAACUUACAUAUUUGUGUAGCCCUCUUAGCAGCAAAUAUAACAAACAACAAGGAUGUCAGGUUGCCUGCUCUUGCCUGAAGCACGGCUGGAAUUUUUAGUGACAGUGACAAUUUACGUAGAACAUUACAUACUCUCCCAUGUACUGCAACCGCAGAAACGAGAAUACAAAAUAAUAGAUGGUACAGGAGAUGACUUCUUUCUUUGGGGGAACAGAAAUGCUAGACAUUAAAAUUUCUUCAGUCACCUAUUUGCCCUGUGUCAAUGCAUAAAAAUACAAAUAAAUAUCUGCUUACAAAUGAAGUUCAUAGUAUACUGUUAUAAAAAAAUUUAAAAAAAUCAAAAAUCUUAUUUUACGUUUUUGUCAUUAAAUAAAAAUGCUAAUAUACAGACAUACUUGAUACUGAUAUCAAUUCUGGGAGUUGGUGUUUCAUUUCUCCGUCAUGAUCAUGGUAUAACAGUGCUAAUACACAGACGACAAGACUCACAUCCCAAACGCAGGUUUCAUUUUACUAAAAGUCACUCAAGAUGCUUUUUUCUCUUUUUCUGUUUAAUUAAAAAAGAUUCAUGUUUUGGCAUUUUAGAAUUACAUUUGAAGUUGUCUGAAAAAAUACAAUUUGAAUGCAAAAACCGUAUCAGGCAUUCGAGAAUAUAUUGCUGGUGCUUUAAUCUUUUUGCAUGUCUCUGUUUUCAUAGAAAAAAAAAUCCAAUAAAAUAAACACGUCUAAGAUUUUCCAUCAUGUUAACAAGAUGUCUCAUGCA